AUUGAACGCUGGCGGCAUGCCUUACACAUGCAAGUCGAACGGCAGCACGGGUGCUUGCACCUGGUGGCGAGUGGCGAACGGGUGAGUAAUAUAUCGGAACGUACCUUAUUGUGGGGGAUAACGCAGCGAAAGCUGUGCUAAUACCGCAUAAUCCCUAAGGGGGAAAGCGGGGGACCGUAAGGCCUCGCGCAAUUAGAGCGGCCGAUACCUGAUUAGCUAGUUGGUGAGGUAAAGGCUCACCAAGGCAACGAUCAGUAGCUGGUCUGAGAGGACGAUCAGCCACACUGUGACUGAGACACGGCCCAGACUCCUACGGGAGGCAGCAGUGGGGAAUUUUGGACAAUGGGGGCAACCCUGAUCCAGCAAUGCCGCGUGAGUGAAGAAGGCUUUCGGGUUGUAAAGCUCUUUUGUCAGGGAAGAAACAGCAGCUCUAACACAGUUUGCGAAUGACGGUACCUGAAGAAUAAGCACCGGCUAACUACGUGCCAGCCGCCGUAAUAC
rnacentral:rRNA from 1 species